rnacentral:rRNA from 1 species
CCUACGGGUGGCUGCAGUGAGGAAUAUUGGUCAAUGGGCGCGAGCCUGAACCAGCCAAGUCGCGUGAGGGAUGAAGGUUCUAUGGAUCGUAAACCUCUUUUAUAAGGGAAUAAAGUGUGGGACGUGUCCUAUUUUGUAUGUACCUUAUGAAUAAGGAUCGGAUAACUCCGUGCCAGCAGCCGCGGUCAUACGGAGGAUCCGAGCGUUAACGGGAUUGAGUGGGUUUAACGGGUGCGCAGGCGGCCUUUUAAGUCAGCGGUGAAAGUCUGUGGCUCAACCAUAGAAUGGCCGUUGAAACUGGGAGGCGUGAGUAUGUUUGAGGCAGGCGGAAUGCGUGGUGUAGCGGUGAAAUGCUUAGAUAUCACGCAGAACCCCGAUAGCGAAGGCAGCCUGCCAAGCCAUGACUGACGCUGAUGCACGAAAGCGUGGGGAUCAAACAGGAUUAGAUACCCGGGUAGUC